UCGGAUUGUAGUCUGCAACCCGACUACAUGAAGCCGGAAUCGCUAGUAAUCGCGGAUCAGAAUGCCGCGGUGAAUACGUUCCCGGGUCUUGUACACACCGCCCGUCACACCAUGGGAGUUGGAAAUGCCCGAAGUCAGUGGCCCAACCGGAAGGGGGGAGCUGCCGAAGGCAGGUUCGAUGACUGGGGUGAAGUCGUAACAAGGUACC
rnacentral:rRNA from 1 species